rnacentral:rRNA from 1 species
AACGCGAAGAACCUUACCUGGGUUUGACAUGCCAGGAUUAUCCCCGGGAAACCGGGGUAGGCCCUUCGGGGUACAACUGGUACAGGUGCUGCAUGGCUGUCGUCAGCUCGUGUCGUGAGAUGUCGGGUUAAGUCCCUUAACGAGCGAAACCUUUACCCUUAGUUACCAGCGGGUUAUGCCGGGGACUCUAAGGGGACUGCCGGUGUCAAACCGGAGGAAGGUGGAGAUGACGUCAAGUCCUCAUGGCCUUUAUGCCCAGGGCUACACACGUGCUACAAUGGCGUAGAUAAAGCGAACCGAAAGCGCGAGCUCCAGGAAAACGCAAAAAAUACGCCUCAGUUCAGAUUGGAGGCUGCAACUCGCCUCCAUGAAGUUGGAAUCGCUAGUAAUCGCGGAUCAGCUACGCCGCGGUGAAUGUGUUCCCGGGCCUUGUACACACCGGCUAC